rnacentral:rRNA from 1 species
UGGGGAAUUUUGGACAAUGGGCGCAAGCCUGAUCCAGCAAUGCCGCGUGCAGGAUGAAGGCCUUCGGGUUGUAAACUGCUUUUGUACGGAGCGAAAAGGUCUGCCCUAAUACGGUGGGCUCAUGACGGUACCGUAAGAAUAAGCACCGGCUAACUACGUGCCAGCAGCCGCGGUAAUACGUAGGGUGCGAGCGUUAAUCGGAAUUACUGGGCGUAAAGCGUGCGCAGGCGGUUAUGCAAGACAGAGGUGAAAUCCCCGGGCUCAACCUGGGAACUGCCUUUGUGACUGUAUAGCUAGAGUACGGUAGAGGGGGAUGGAAUUCCGCGUGUAGCAGUGAAAUGCGUAGAUAUGCGGAGGAACACCGAUGGCGAAGGAAAUCCCCUAGACCUGUACUGACGCUCAUGCACGAAAGCGUGGGGAGCAAACA